rnacentral:lncRNA from 1 species
UUGAGGAUAAUUAUAUGUGUUGAAAAGGUUCAAGUUUGGGGUUGUAUAGGGAAAGUGAAAGGCAAAAGAAAAAAAAACAUUGAGUUCAAAAGUUGAAAAAGAAAAAUGCAUGAGAAAAAGAAAGUAGAAGAAGAAAGAAAAAGCAUGAAAAGUGAACUCAAUGUAAAAAAGGAAAAAGGGAAGAAGUUGGGAAUGAGUGAGAUUGGUUAAAAAGAGAGUGU